GUUAGACAUUGGAAAGAGAAAGAAUAUGGGAUGGCCAUCUUUAUCUUUGUCUAAUGUUGCGCGCGCAUCGAACUUUGAAAGCUGAGUGGGAAGGCAUCGAAGAGGGGAAGUUUUGCCUCUGACAAAGAAGUCAUAUAACCUCUUUGCUGACAUAGCUUAAGCAACAAAGAUUAUUUCCAAGAGAAAAGUAUUGUGAAAGAAGUAAAAAUGACAAGAACAUGUAUUGUUUGUAAAAAACAACCUAUUCCGUUUGAGCAAUCUCGAAGUUUUCACAAAUUUCCUGAUAAUGUUGAGUUGAGAAAAAAAUGGAUGGAAGCCAUUAAUGUGACAAAAGUUUGUAAGACAGCCAACAUAUGUAGUGACCACUUCCAUGAUGAUUCAUUUCAGCAGACUGACGGAUAUACAACUUUGAGACGUUUAACAUAACUGCUGUCCCUUUUAAUCAAAAAAGUUAGUUAUCUUCUUCAAUCAACAACGUACCUACUCAAGUACUUGGCGACAUAGGCAACAUAGGUCAUUUAAGUCCCAGAAACAGUAUAAAAAGAAAAUCACCUGUUGUCGACAUUCCCCCAACAAAAAAAUUUUGUUUUAUGAUCAAAAAUCAGUCAGAGUCUUUUUCAAAAAAGGAUUUCAGUUCAAAUGAAGCAUGGGAGCGAUUUGGAAAGGUUAUGAUUGAUCAAAGACGUAAAAAGGCUGCUUCCUAUA